GAUGAACGCUAGCGGCAGGCCUAACACAUGCAAGUCGAGGGGCAGCACGUCUUCGGAUGGUGGCGACCGGCGCACGGGUGCGUAACGCGUAUGCAACCUACCUCUUACAGUGGGAUAGCCCAGAGAAAUUUGGAUUAAUACCGCAUAGUAUACAGAUUCAGCAUUGGGACUGUAUUAAACAUUUAUGGGUAAGAGAUGGGCAUGCGUUCUAUUAGUUAGUUGGAGUGGUAACGGCACCCCAAGACAGCGAUAGAUAGGGCCCGUGAGAGGGGAGUCCCCACACUGGUACUGAGACACGGACCAGACUCCUACGGGAGGCAGCAGUGAGGAAUAUUGGACAAUGGGCGAGAGCCUGAUCCAGCAUGCCGCGUGAGUGAAGAAGGCCUGAGGGUUGUAAAGCACUUUCAAUCGUGAAGAAAAAGUUGCAGGCUAAUAACCCUGUGACC
rnacentral:rRNA from 1 species